GCGAAGAUGGCGAAAUUGGUAGCCGCGCUAGUUUCAGAUGCUAGUGUCUUAAUAAGAUAUGAGGGUUCAAAUCCCUCUCUUCGCA
rnacentral:tRNA from 1 species